rnacentral:rRNA from 1 species
GACGAACGCUGGCGGCGUGCUUAACACAUGCAAGUCGAACGGAGAUUAUUAAUGAAGCUUGCGAUUUAAUAAUCUUAGUGGCGGACGGGUGAGUAACGCGUGGGCAACCUACCCAUAAGCGGGGGAUAACAGUUGGAAACGACUGCUAAUACCGCAUAAGCUAUUAAGGUCGCAUGACCUAAAUAGUAAAGGUGGCAUUUUAACAAUGCUAUCACUUAUGGAUGGGCCCGCGUCUGAUUAGCUAGUUGGUGGGGUAGUGGCCUACCAAGGCAACGAUCAGUAGCCGGCCUGAGAGGGUGGACGGCCACACUGGGACUGAGACACGGCCCAGACUCCUACGGGAGGCAGCAGUGAGGAAUAUUGCACAAUGGGCGAAAGCCUGAUGCAGCAACGCCGCGUGAGUGACGAAGGCCUCGGGUUGUAAAGCUCUGUCGGUGGGAGAUGUGGUCCGGCUAACGACCGGAUUGUGACGGUACCAUCAAAGGAAGCCCCGGCAAACUACG